rnacentral:rRNA from 1 species
CACGUAGGGCGCAAGCGUUGUCCGGAAUUAUUGGGCGUAAAGAGCUCGUAGGCGGUCUGUUGCGUCCGCUGUGAAAACUCGGGGCUUAAUCCCGAGCCUGCAGUGGAUACGGGCAGACUAGAGGUAGGUAGGGGAGAAUGGAAUUCCCGGUGUAGCGGUGAAAUGCGCAGAUAUCGGGAGGAACACCGGUGGCGAAGGCGGUUCUCUGGGCCUUACCUGACGCUGAGGAGCGAAAGCGUGGGGAGCGAACAGG